CAGAAGAAGGACAUAAAAGUAUUAGAACGAGUCCAGAGGAGGGACACAAAGACGAUUAAGGGUUGGAGCACCUCUCCUAUGAAGACAAGCUGGAGAAGACCUGGAGAAGACAAGGCUCUGAAAUGCUUAAUUCCCUCUGUUCCAGAGCUAGGAAGACAGAGGGAACUUCGGAAGUAGCCAAUAAAGCUGACUGAGGUAAAGGAGGGAGGAAAGCUGAGGGAGGAAAGAAGAUGAAGGAAGCCUGGAUUCCUGGAUGGGAUUAUCAAGACUG